rnacentral:rRNA from 1 species
GAGUUUGAUCAUGGCUCAGAGUGAACGCUGGCGGCAGGCCUAACACAUGCAAGUCGAACGGCAGCACAGCAGUAGCAAUACUGUGGGUGGCGAGUGGCGGACGGGUGAGGAAUGCAUCGGAAUCUGCCUAUUUGUGGGGGAUAACGUAGGGAAACUUACGCUAAUACCGCAUACGUCCUACGGGAGAAAGUGGGGACCGCAAGGCCUCACGCAGAUAGAUGAGCCGAUGCCGGAUUAGCUAGUUGGCGGGGUAAAGGCCCACCAAGGCGACGAUCCGUAGCUGGUCUGAGAGGAUGAUCAGCCACACUGGAACUGAGACACGGUCCAGACUCCUACGGGAGGCAGCAGUGGGGAAUAUUGGACAAUGGGCGCAAGCCUGAUCCAGCCAUGCCGCGUGUGUGAAGAAGGCC